rnacentral:lncRNA from 1 species
UUCUUUUUUUUUUGCAGAAGCACUCUGAAAUGCACUGCGAUCUUCCGUUCUCUUGUCUGGUUGGCGAUGGCCAAAGGGAAAAAAUGCGAGGCACAACACAGCAGGUUUGUUACGGAAGAUGUAAAGCCGUAUUGGACAACGCCAGGGGCAAAGACGGCACGUGAAAGAAGAACUAACCCAAGGGCAGGAGGGGGCAUUCGACGUGAUAACAGCACAUUCAGGUUGGUCAUCUCCCACAUUUGCAGAGGUCAUCCAGCAUGACACCGCAGUAUAAUGAGGGGCAGGCAAUGGCAGCAGAAGAAUUCAUGACAUGUCAGUGCUCCAAACCACCUCUCUUCUACAAAGGAGAUGGUCAUUCAGUCCACAACCCCAAACAACUUAAAACCAGUUCUUCACAGUCUUUCCCGGGUCUACAUCUCCAUUCUGC